GGGUCUGUGGUUUAGUGGUAUAAUACUCCCUUAGCAUCAGGAUCGUCCUGAUUCCGGAUUGGGAGUGGUCCGGGGUUCGAUUCCCCGCGGAUCCA
rnacentral:tRNA from 1 species